UAGGGAAUCUUCCGCAAUGGGCGAAAGCCUGACGGAGCAACGCCGCGUGAGUGAUGAAGGUCUUCGGAUCGUAAAACUCUGUUAUUAGGGAAGAACAAAUGUGUAAGUAACUAUGCACGUCUUGACGGUACCUAAUCAGAAAGCCACGGCUAACUACGUGCCAGCAGCCGCGGUAAUACGUAGGUGGCAAGCGUUAUCCGGAAUUAUUGGGCGUAAAGCGCGCGUAGGCGGUUUUUUAAGUUUGAUGUGAAAGCCCACGGCUCAACCGUGGAGGGUCAUUGGAAACUGGAAAACUUGAGUGCAGAAGAGGAAAGUGGAAUUCCAUGUGUAGCGGUGAAAUGCGCAGAGAUAUGGAGGAACCCCAGUGGCGAAGGCGACUUUCUGGUCUGUAACUGACGCUGAUGUGCGAAAGCGUGGGGAUCAAACAGG
rnacentral:rRNA from 1 species